AGGACGAACGCUUGCGACGUGCCUAAGAAAUGCAAGUCGAACGGAAUUACCUUCGGGUAGUUUAGUGGCGAACGGUCGCGUAACACGUAGGCAACCUGCCCUGAAGCGGGGGACAACAACUCGAAAGAGUUGCUAAUACCGCAUGUGUAUCGGAAUGGCAUCAUUCAGGAUACAAAGGACUUCGGUUCACUUCAGGAUGGGCCUGCGGCCUAUCAGCUUGUUGGUGAGGUAAUGGCUCACCAAGGCUUCGACGGGUAGCUGGUCUGAGAGGACGAUCAGCCGGAUUGGGACUGAGAUACGGCCCAGACUCCUACGGGGGGCAGCAAUUAGGAAUCUUGCGCAAUGGGCGAAAGCCUGACGCAGCGACGUCGCGUGAAGGAUGAAAUCUUUCGGGAUGUAAACUUCUUUUACCAGGGAAGAAACAAAUGACGGUACCUGGUGAAUAACGCCCGGCUAACUACGUGCCAGCAGCCGC
rnacentral:rRNA from 1 species